rnacentral:lncRNA from 1 species
AAGAAAUGAGGCCUUCUGCCAAUGACCAUGAAUUCUUUGGCUAUUCUUAGGCCUUUUCUCAUCCAGAUAAGAUACUGAAUCAGCUUAUCAAGGGCCAACUUAUUGAAUUGUUAUUGAAUUUGAGAUGAAUCAAUAAAGAGAAAGGAGAGCCAUGAAAUUAGAAAAACUACCCUAAUUAAGUCUUCCCUUCUAAAAGUCAGGAAAACUAGCAUUACAUGAAAAUGAGUACCAAAAAAACUAAGGUCAAAUCCCAUACAAAGUCAUUAUGAAGAAAAAAAGAGAAUAAAAAAUAAUUUCUUUAGAAAAUAAAUUAUGACAGAAAGCCAUGGCUUCAAAACAGAUGAAAACUAAAAUAUUUCAAAAUAAGUUAAUAAACAUCUAAAAUGACAUUAGAUAUGAAAAAAUGACGUGUCAGAUUUAGAAAUAUACAGAAAGGAGAUGACAAACUCAGAAAAGAAGUAAAAAUUUUAAAAACAUUUCAGAAAUGAAGAGAGAAAGAAACACGAGCAAAUAAACAGAACUGAUAAUGCAUUAAAAGAAAAGAUGAAAAAAUAUGAGGCUAUAAAAGAGACGUGUGGUACAGGAUAACGGUCACCCAAAGAUGUCCCCAUCCUAAUCUCCAGAACCUGUGCCUGUGUCACCUGACAUGGCAAAGUGACAGCAAAUGUGACUACCUUAUGGAUCUCAAGAGAGAAGCCUGAUCCUGGAUCAUCUGGCUGAGUCCAGCCUAAUCGCAUGUGUCCUUAACAGUGGAGAGUCGACUGCAGUGGUAUGAAGGAAAUGCAGCUAUGGAAGAAACGGUCUGAGAAAUGGUACAUUGCUGGCUUUGUGGAUGGAGGAAAGUGGUCAUGAGCCAAGGGAUGUGUACUACCUCUAGAAGCUGGAAAAGGGAAGAAAACAGAUUUGCCCUAAAGCCUCCAGAAUGAAAUCCAGACCUACUGACACCCUGGUUUUAGCUCAGUGAGACCCAUGGUGGGCUUCUGAAGGCAAAAUUGUAAGAUAAUAAAUGUGUUAAGACACUAAAUUUAUGGUGAUAUGCUAUGGCAGUGGUAGAAAAUUAGUACAAGAUGAAAAAGAUUUAAAAGGAAAUGACAGAUAUACACAUAUAGGAAACAGGCAAGGAAGACCCUGUACACAUGGGUACACGUGCAUGCGCACACACACACAGAUAUAUUAGUUCCUAAAGAAAUAAAAUCAGCCAGGCACGGUGGCUCACGCCUGUAAUCCCAGCACUUUGGGAGGCCGAGACAGGCGGAUCACCUGAGGUCAGGAGUUCAAGACCAGCCUCAACAUGGAGAAACCCUGUCUCUACUAAAAACACAAAAUUAGCUGGGCGUGGUGGUGCAGGCCUGUAAUCCCAG